CCAGUGUUCAUCAAGCAUUUGGUUAUGUCUAACUGUACCUUGGGUGACGUGGGGGUAGCAGGGGAUCUUGCAGGUGGAAUGUCUACAAGGCAUGUAGAUUUUCAUCUGACCAUCCAACCCUCUCUUCAUGUGUGUGAUUUGUGUCUAUGUGCUAAAAGAAUCUAUCACCUCUACUGCUUUAAAUCAUAUUCCCAAAUGAGCCCAGCCUGGGUCUAUGUCAUGUUCCAGGAAGAGUUGGUGGAGGACAGGAUGAAUCUCAUCACCCUUGGCUUCUGGUUUCCGGCUAUGACCUAGUCACUUCCUAUGGGAACCUGCUUCUGAUCCUCAGCAGAGACUGGAGGACCUUUCACCUCUGCAUCCUUCAUUAUCCACAUGCAUUUCUGUAUCCAGAGCUGGAGGCAUUUGCAAUGACUCUCCAAGGUUACCAGGAUGUGGCCUGGAAAGGACAGCAGGAGUGGAGUCAAAGGAAGGAAUACACAAGUAACAAAGGGAGAAAUUACAACAGUGAGAAUUUCACUAAGGAAUCUAGCCCAUGUCAUCAUGUUU
rnacentral:lncRNA from 1 species